UGGCGAACGGGUGAGUAACACGUGAGUAACCUGCCCACAACUUUGGGAUAACGCUAGGAAACUGGUGCUAAUACUGGAUAUGUGCUCCUGCUGCAUGGUGGGGGUUGGAAAGCUCCGGCGGUUGUGGAUGGACUCGCGGCCUAUCAGCUUGUUGGUGGGGUAGUGGCUUACCAAGGCUUUGACGGGUAGCCGGCCUGAGAGGGUGACCGGCCACAUUGGGACUGAGAUACGGCCCAG
rnacentral:rRNA from 1 species